ACUCCUACGGGAGGCAGCAGUGGGGAAUAUUGCACAAUGGGGGAAACCCUGAUGCAGCCAUGCCGCGUGUGUGAAGAAGGCCUUGGUUGUAAAGCACUUUCAGUAGGGAGGAAGGUAGUGUAGUUAACACCUGCAUUAUUUGACGUUACCUACAGAAGAAGCACCGGCUAACUCCGUGCCAGCAGCCGCGGUAAUACGGAGGGUGCGAGCGUUAAUCGGAAUUACGUGGGCGUAAAGCGCAUGCAGGCGGCCUGUUAAGUCAGAUGUGAAAGCCCGGGGCUUAACCUCGGAAUUGCAUUUGAAACUGGCAGGCUAGAGUCUUGUAGAGGGGUUAGAAUUUCAGGUGUAGCGGUGAAAUGCGUAGAGAUCUGAAGGAAUACCAGUGGCGAAGGCGGCCCCUGGACAAAGACUGA
rnacentral:rRNA from 1 species